GCCUCGCUAGCUCAAUCGGUAGAGCGUGAGACUCUUAACGGGAGAUUCAUCUCAAGGUUGCGGGUUCGACCCCCGCGUGGGGCU